CGGGAGUGAAAAUAAAAUAUCUAAGCACUAAGGCUUACCAGUGAAUAAAAGCUAACAAAGCUAAAACUUAAAGAACAUGGCGGCGGAAAUUAAGUUUAGGGGAACUUACCAGGUAAUUGACAACCCUCAAAAAAAAUCACCUUUUUUAAAAGUUUGUAUACCGCCGUCUUGGGCCCUCUUAAGGAGGGCCCGAAAUGGAUUAACCGUCAAGACAGGUCAUGGUGCAGCCUAUAUAAAGGACUAGUAAGGUGAGUUACAAUAAUAAUUUAUUUCGGAAUAAAAAUGUAAAAAUUGAAGGAAGAUGGACUUAACAGUAAUUACUAAAGAAGUAUGUUUUGAAACACAAAAAUUUUCGGUGC
rnacentral:rRNA from 1 species